rnacentral:lncRNA from 1 species
CUGCAGGGAAAUAUUGUCGACAAUGCCCAUGCCACUGAAGCGAGUAGGCGGCCCUGCUCGGAUGGGUUAAGGCUUGCACUCACCAACAUGCUGCCGAGCCUUGUGGCAGCCUUCACAGAGAUCGGAGCCGAGGGGUGCCAAGAGUACCAGUAGCUGUAAUAAUCAAAUAGCCAUGUACUCUCAGCAACACAUCACUAGACAGACGAGUAUGUGAUGGUGAGACCUUUGCUACACCUACAGAUUAGUUUGGAUGGGCAGGCGGGCUACGUGAUGGCGGUGGUCUUGUAAUCGUUAACAUUAUUGUUCGACAACAAUUACAUAC